AGUGAACGCUGGCGGUAGGCCUAACACAUGCAAGUCGAACGGCAGCACAGUAAGAGCUUGCUCUUACGGGUGGCGAGUGGCGGACGGGUGAGGAAUACAUCGGAAUCUACUUUUUCGUGGGGGAUAACGUAGGGAAACUUACGCUAAUACCGCAUACCACCUACGGGUGAAAGCAGGGGAUCUUCGGACCUUGCGCGAUUGAAUGAGCCGAUGUCGGAUUAGCUAGUUGGCGGGGUAAAGGCCCACCAAGGCGACGACCCGUAGCUGGUCUGAGAGGAUGAUCAGCCACACUGGAACUGAGACACGGUCCAGACUCCUACGGGAGGCAGCAGUGGGGAAUAUUGGACAAUGGGCGCAAGCCUGAUCCAGCCAUACCGCGUGGGUGAAGAAGGCCUUCGGGUUGUAAAGCCCUUUUGUUGGGAAAGAAAAGCAGCAGGUUAAUACCCCGCUGUUCUGACGGUACCCAAAGAAUAAGCACCGGCUAACUUCGUG
rnacentral:rRNA from 1 species